rnacentral:rRNA from 1 species
UACGUAGGGCGCAAGCGUUGUCCGGAAUUAUUGGGCGUAAAGAGCUCGUAGGCGGCCUGUUGCGUCCGCUGUGAAAUCCCGGGGCUCAACCCCGGGCCUGCAGUGGAUACGGGCUGGCUGGAGGCAGGCAGGGGAGAACGGAAUUCCUGGUGUAGCGGUGAAAUGCGUAGAGAUCCGGAGGAACACCGACGGCGUAGGCAGCGCCGUAGACGAGACCUGACGCUCAGGCACGAAAGCGUGGGGAGCAAACAGG